rnacentral:tRNA from 1 species
GCGGGUAUGGUUUAGUGGUAGAACGCGAUCCUUCCAAGAUCGAUGCGCCGUUUCGAUUACGGCUACCCGCAC